rnacentral:misc_RNA from 1 species
UUUUUUUUUUAUUUCAACACGAAAGUUGUGAAACUCAUUGGUUAAACUCAAUAUUCACGGGAAGGUGUCUUGCUUCCAAUUUUUGAUUCAAUUUGCAGUAUCAAGCUUGCAGUAUAAACACUAUGAGAAAUAUGUUGUUUAAAACUACCUUAAUUUUUAAUGUAAAAACCUAUGUUGUGUUUUUAAUUUAUAUUUUCCUCGUUUACACUUGAGUUUGUAUUUUCUUGUUUCUACUGUUUUAUUAAAACUUUGUUAAUUUUUAAAGUUUAGAUGAAUGUCUAAUGUUGAUAUUUUAGUUCUAUAUUGUUUAAAAAAUCAGCUUUGUCCAAAUUACUUAUUAAUAAGCACUUUUAGCAUCCUCUCUUUUAUGACUUUAUUCUACUUAUGAAAUUCUGAUUUGUUGCAAUACCAAUUCAAUUAUCACCAACUUUGCAAUAUAUUUAUAAAUUGACCUUAGUUUUACAUUGCACAUCCUAUUCUAUAAGUUUUAUAUUGCAUGUUCUACACUUAUUUGUACCUAUAUGCCGUCCAUAAUUAAAAUGAAAUUCCUGUGAAUGUUGCCUUUUGUCUGGAUUUGUUUUAUAAUCAUUUUGUUACCAUGUAUCCAGGUUGAUUUUUAUAAAUAAAAUAUUAAUAUGAAUUU